rnacentral:rRNA from 1 species
CAGCAGCCGCGGGAAUACGUAGGGUGAAAGCGUUAAUCGGAAUUACUGGGCGUAAAGCGUGCGCAGGCGGUUUUGUAAGACAGAGGUGAAAUCCCCGGGCUCAACCUGGGAACUGCCUUUGUGACUGCAAGGCUAGAGUACGGCAGAGGGGGAUGGAAUUCCGCGUGUAGCAGUGAAAUGCGUAGAUAUGCGGAGGAACACCGAUGGCGAAGGCAAUCCCCUGGGCCUGUACUGACGCUCAUGCACGAAAGCGUGGGGAGCAAACAGGAUUAGAUACCCGAGUAGUCCCUGUCUCUUAUAA